rnacentral:rRNA from 1 species
AGCGUGGUCGGAUUAGUGGGCGUAAGCGCGCGCAGGCGGUCUCUUAAGUCUGAUGUGAAAGCCCACGGCUCAACCGUGGAGGGUCAUUGGAAACUGGGAGACUUGAGUACAGAAGAGGAGAGUGGAAUUCCACGUGUAGCGGUGAAAUGCGUAGAUAUGUGGAGGAACACCAGUGGCGAAGGCGACUCUCUGGUCUGUAACUGACGCUGAGGCGCGAAAGCGUGGGGAGCAAACAGGAUUAGAUACCCUGGUAGUCCGGGCCGUAAACGAUGAGUGCUAGGUGUUAGGG